ACUCGUCUCAUUGGCCUCGUUCCCCUCGGGACGGCCUUCAUUGGCCGCCCUACACUCUCACGGGGGCGGGGCCCAAAGUCGCUGGAGUUUUGCUCCCGGGACGGGACGUCCGAGGUGAGAGGCUGACGUAGAGGUGACGCGACAAUUUAAUCACAUCUUACGUCACGUUUGGUCGUCUUGGCUCGGCGGCCGCGAUUGGUCAGGCUGGCUUGGGGGAUCCCUUGCUAAUUGGGUGUCCAGGUUGCCUGGCCGGGUUACCUAGAGUCGGAGCCCCGCCCCUUGGGGGAUAGCAGUGCAGAGACGGGAGAGUAGGGGAAUCUCUUCCUGCCCCGGUGGUCCUUGAAGAGGAGGACCCCCCACCCCCGAAGUGUGACCAAGGCCAGUGUAAUAUUUCACACAGGAAGCCAUCCUACUGACAUUCCAGGAGGACAUGAAGUGGUAUUUUCAGAGAGCUGACGCCUCUAUACCAGGAAGUUCCCAGCGCUUUAUAGUUGACCUUGUCAUUCUCAAAUCCUCUUGUGGCUGGCUGAAGAUCCUACUCUAUUACCAUCUGAAGCAGAAGUGUCUGAAUUAGAAUGCCUCUGCCAUCUGAGUGAAGGACUAUGCCUUGUUGGGGCCAACAGAUGCCUAAAGUAUCUAAUCAGAUGAAAUGAGCCUAGGCUUCCUCUUCAGGGGAGAGGACUUGAGAAUCUGUAGUGAAAGGAAACUUUGCAGGUGAGAGGCUGAAGAACUGCUCCCCAGGCUUCUUGCCUGGAACCCCCUUCUCAUCUGAUUUGGCUUCUAAGGCUGCUGCUGCCUUAUCCAUUCGGAGUUUGUGAUUCUUGGCCUGGCAAGGAAUGGUAUUCUGGCUCAUGGUCUUUGCAUAUGGAUUUAGCUUCAACAUGAUUCUCAGGUUCUUCAGUGGAUUCUUCUUCAGGACUCUGAGAUGAAUCUUCUUGCAUGGUGCUCGGAGGGCUCUUUGGAUCUCUGGACUUUUCAAGAUUCUGCUAAGGUCUGUAUUAAGCAUCUUAUGCAUGGGAAGGUUGUAGUUACUCUUGAGGGAGGCAGCCUUAUGCCAAGUGCCAUACAGAUCGUCUAACUUGUGGAAAGCACUUUCAGUCCAAAUGCAGAAACGUCCCACAUGCUUGUUCUUGGGCCAAAAUUAGAACAAGGGAAACUUUUGGCACAUUUAUCUCUCAGAAAAUGUUGGCAGAUCUCACUUUUUAUUUUCUCGCAAAAUCUGCUCUUAAGACUCAAGUACUCUUUCAUAUCAUAUUGAUAACAUCGUUUAAAACAUGAUCUCUCCCAAAGAAAUUUGUAGUUUACCACAGAUCAAAUCUUUAGGUGAAAGAAAGGACUCUCCUGAGUAUGAUUUAUCUAUGUAUUUGUUUGUUUGCUUCUUUUUAAAAGUUUAUAUUGUACUUUGUUCCAAAAAGGAAAUUUGAGGCCAUGUUAUCAUACAAUAAGAAGAAAAAAAUAAAAAUAAAUAAUUGAGAACAUUAGGAUGACUGUAAUUUUGAGAAUUUGGGGUUUUAGGGAAAAAUUCUUUGUUGUUUUGCUAUUGCUGUUAUCAGGAACCCUUAUUUUACCUUGAAAUCUUAACAGGGCAGAGUGGAGUCAUCAACUCCACUUACAGCAGACCAAUCUUUCGGCAUGUGUUAAGACGAUUUAUGGUGAAAAAGUAUUCUCUUGUAUUUCUCAGCUUGCUUGGGGCAUUUAGUACAGUUUACUAUUCCAGGUUUAGUUCUUUAGUAUCCCUCUCUUUGGUUAUUUAUUAACCUCCCUUUAAAGUACAACUUAAUCAUUCAAGGAAGGUACAAAGUUCAGUUAAUGUUUCUACUCUUCCAAAUCAUGAUAAUACAUGAAGCCACUGUAUAACUUGAAAUGCCUCCUAAAGCCUAAAAUUUGUAAAUGAAAGCAUUAGCCUGUAGGGAACUUGCUCUAAAUACCAGCAUUAUACAGGUAAUCCUGCAGUGACAGAGAAAUGCUGCCCGCAUUAAUGGAAUGUUUAGAUGAUACCUGUGUUCCAAGUAGUUUACGUGUUUCACAUGUAACCUCCACCUUCCCCUCCCUCUGUUGUUCUCCUUAUAAGGACAGGAUGUCAAAGGUGAUCAGAUAUUCCCCCAGGGAAGCCAGAGGAAGAAAAUAGUAGAUGUCCUCCCUUCUAGAGAUAUGUCUAUUAUGCAAUUCAUCAAGGAUGAUGACUGCUUAGGAUCCAAAAUUCAGACUGAACACAGGGGUUCAGUUUUUUUCCUCUCACUAGGAGUAAUGAAAAAAGUAGCCAUAGAAGACUUGAGUAAAUUUCUAGGCACUAUGUUUACAAAACAGUAAGAGAUCAUGGAUCUCUCACCUGUCCUCCCAGAACCUAGAACAGUGCCUCAACAUCAUAUGUGUUCAGUAUCACUUGUAAAAUGAAUGUAAAAUGAAAUCUCCCUCUGAAACCUAGUUUUUUGUUUUUUGUUUUUUUGUUUUGUUUUGUUUUUAAUAUUUUAUUUACUUAUUUGACAGAGAGAGCACCCACAAGCAGGGGGUGUGGCAGGCAGAGCAGGAGGGAGAAGCAGGCUCCCCACUAAGCAAGGAGCCUGAUGUGGGACUCGAUCCCAGGACCCUGGGAUCAUGACCUGAGCCGAAGGCAGUCGCUUAACCGACUGAGACCCAGGCGCCCCUGAAACCUAGUUUUUGAGAGUCAAUGUAUUGAGAGUUCUCAGGUACUUCUUAGGUAUGGGAAAUCCUUCAAUUUCUAUCCUGUCUAUAUAAGAUAAACAAGCUCUUGUUCCUUAUUAUACUGUGUUAGUUAAGGGUGCUCAGUUCUGGAGCCUGAAUUCAGAACAUAUUUUCACCACUUAUUAGCUGUGCAAAUCUGGGGAAGUUGCUUAGCUCUUCUGGGACAGUUUUCUGAUCUGUGAUGUUAGGAGAAGUAAAUGAUGUAUGAUGCAUAGUACGAGACACCCAUAGCCUGAUAAAUAUUUGACGACAGUCACGGUAUAGCAGCUCGAGCCUUGAGAAAGCCUCAAGUCCUACCUGCUAAAAGGAAGAUUCUUCGUGAAUAGAAAUAAUAGGAACUUCAAGGAGUUAGAGACAGAUUCUCAUUGACGUGUGGCUUUUUAAGUCGUGAUAAUGAAAACAGCAUUGAAAAGGACUGCUUUCCAGAGAGAAGUAGGCAGCUAUCCAAAGUAUUUUGAGUCAGAAAUAAAUAUUGGUAGAUUUCUCUCUUUAAAGAGAUUUUUAGAAUUAUCUCCAAUAGAAUGAAGAGUUUACAGCCUUAAAAAAUAAAAAUUUUAAAAGACCCUAAAUAUGAGAUUUUACUUUGAAGUUAUUUUUUCUUUAACAAACAUACCAUUCAUUCAACAAAUAUUUAUUAAGCAACCACUAUAUGCCAAGCAUUGUGUUAGGAGCUAGGGAGAAAAAUGAAAUAGGCAUGGUGCCUGUUCUAAAUGAGUUUAAAGAAUCUAAAUAUUCAGAUAAGCAAUGCCCUUCAAAAUAGUUACCCUGGCUUCCUGUACAUUUAUCCCAAUAUUAUUGCUCUCAACACCUUCAAACAACUCUUGGGCAAUACCUUCAGAGUCAAUGCCUGAGCUACACAUAAACAGCACUGGCCUCUUCACUUUUGGGAAAGACUAAUAGUGGAUUUUAAAAUACUUCAAAUCUCCUUUAUUGUUUGGUAAAUGCCACAGCUCAGAAACCCCCAAAUGCCCACCUAUCCCCAAUGCUACAGUUUGUCUUCUAGGACUCUUUAGAACACCUCACAACCCAGCAACUAAAAAAUUAAUACCUGGAUCUUGGUCAGUGUUCUCCAGGACCUUGCUCCAGUGACAUCUGUUUUGAUUGGUCUCUGUCCUGUCAUACCUUUUGUUGAGUACUUUGAGUAUCACCCCUCACAGGGAGUGUCAUCCUGCAUUUUCCUCAAUCCUUCUUUCAUAUCUACUUCAUUCUACCUGGUACAUCCAAGGCCCCAAUCCUAUUCUAGAUUACUUUUAGCUAUCGAUGAAGAUCAAAUCCAACUCAAAAGGACAAAAUUUGGCUGCCUAUGAAGACAUAUGUUUAAAAUAAAAAGGAACAGACUAAAGACAAGUCCAAAAGAAAGGUCCUGAUAUUGUUCUGGGCAAAGGUAAGUGUCAUUCAAGUUAGCCUGUAGGUGACUACUCAGAGGGGAUGACAUCCUGUCUUAUGUAAUUUCUGGUGUUUUUAUGAACAAAAACAAUAAUAUCAGGCCAAUUACUUUAUAGUCACAUCUUGCAUAUUAGCUGAAUGUCUAAUUUUAGAAGAGCUGUAUUUUAAAGUCAUAAACCUUUAGUUAGGAGCAUUUUUAAAACUUAGUAUAUUUUUUCCAGCUAAUGUUAGCAUAUAACAUGUUAGCAAAAGGUUAGCAUAUAAGGAGUCUGAUGGUCAUGUUUAUCUCAGUAGCAUUUGGAAUUCCUAAUACCUAGAUAUAGUAAAAUAACAGUGAAUAUCUUUUCCAGUAUAAGAUUCAGAAUUAUUAAAAAUUGUAAAGUAUGACACAGUUAUAGAGGAAAUAGAAGUUUUUGUUGUGGGGAAUGUGAAUUCAGAAACAUAUGUUGUUAUAAAAUAUGCUUAUUUUUUAAUAGGAUUUGUAUGAUGGAAAACUAAAUUUAUGUUAUUUGUUACAGGACACUCAAAAAGCAAAAACACAAAUCAGCAAAAAUAAAACAAGACAGAAAGGACUUUCUGAAGACAAAAUUAUUGAUUUUUUUUAUUUAUUUAUUUGAGAGAGAGAAUGAGAUAGAGCAUGAGAGGGAAAGGGUCAGAGGGAGAAGCAGACUCCCUACCGAGCAGGGAGCCUGAUGCGGGACUCGAUCCCGGGACUCCAGGAUCAUGACCUGAGCCGAAGGCAGUCGCUUAACCAACUGAGCCACCCAGGUGCCCCACAACUUUUUCUUUUAUAAAACAUUGUGAUAUAUACCUAUGUAUGCCACUAAACAGUGUUCUAUAGCGUUGUUGAGUGACUGCAUAAUAUUCCACUCUAAAUAUACAUCAUAAUUUAUUUCACCAAUCUUCUGUCAUUGAGCAUUUAGGUUGCUUUUAAUCUUUUUGCCAUUGUGUUGUAGAGACAUUUGGCUCUUCCAAGAAUUUUAAAUCAUUCUAGUGCCGUUAUUCCCUUGGACAGUUAAGCCUAUGGAUCCUUUCUCAGAAUAAGAGACACAGCGAGAGAGGGAACACAAGCAGGAGGAGUUGGAGAGGGAGAAGCAGGCUUCCUGCUGAGCAGGGAGCCUGAUGCGGGGCUCGAUCCCAGGACCCUGGGACCAUGACCUGAGCCAAAGGCAGAUGCUUAAUGACUGAGCCACCCAGGCGCCCCUACUUGAACACAUUUAAUUAUCCAGAUUUAGGUGCUGACCACUAAGGCACUGGAUGUAUGAACAGAGGAGAUUACCAGGAGGUUAUGUAAAAAAAGAACCUGGUGCAGCAUGCCAAUCUUUAUUCUAGGAUUUACAGCAUUAUGUAGAAUAAAAGUUUGAAAAAUGUCUAAAAAGAAGUGAUUUUUUACUUCUCCACAAUUAAUAUGUUUGCUUGAAAGAAAAUCCAUGGGAAUCUGUAGAUAAGGACAUUUGGAAAAUCCAAAAAUAUCCAUAGGGAGAGAGAAGUACAGCUCUGAGAGGAGAGUUUCUGGAAUGGUGAAUCACCUCAGAAUCUUCCUAUUGGGAUCUGGAAACACUUUGUCCCUGGAUGGACUUUCAGCCAAAUGAGGAUCUCCAUAGGAAUGGAAGAAAUCACACGCUCUGCUCUAGGAUCCUUCGUUUGCCAGGUCACAUUGCUUUACUUUGGAUUCCUACCAUCUGAGAGAAGGUCAGUCCAAAGACCUAAGACCUACCAUGGUGCUGCAGAUUGCUGAGCAACACCAUGGAAUAUGUCCUCUUGCAUCUUUGCCAGAGUGAGAGAGGACAACAGUAGAGGGAGAAGGACCGCUGAGCAGGGACCAUGAGAUCAUGACCUGAGCGAAAGAACAACUGGAAUAGUGAAUCUAUACUAAUCAAGCAGCUGAAAAUAUACAGUGACAUGUGAACCAAGAAUCCUAUGAGAAAAAUUAUGAACAGAGAUAAUUAGGUAAAAUUCUGAACCCUUGGCUGCUGGUUGAAUCAAAUCUCUCUUGAUGGUGUCUGAUCAGGUUGGAAGCAUGAGUGAAUUUAGCUAUGAUUUCCUUUUUUGGAUGUGAGCUAGCUACUUUAAAAAAUUGAGUCUGUAUUUUCUACUAGAUUUCCCUUCUGGACACUUGGGUACUCCCUCUAUUCAGAGCAUCAGAAACCAAGGGACUUCAACUUAUGAAACUGAAGCAGUCCCUUUCUGGCUCCCUCAGGAAAAAGCUGAACAAACAGAUGGGCCUUCCUUGGAAUGUCAACCAACAAGAGCCCUGCUUCUGCUGACAGAGGUUGUAAAUUUUACCGGUGACCCCAUUAGAACAUAGGCUCCACUGCCCAGUUCCCCUGGAGAGCUGUACCUAAAAAUAACAAAGCCAGAGCCUAUCUUUAUUGCACUGGUACCUUUCUUUAAGAGGCCCAAUAACUAGCAAGGUUAACACUAGAAGUUGAGGUCUAUUCUUCAUGCCCCUAAAAUUUUCUGCUCCCAACACAGCUGCAGUGGUUACUGUCAAGCUUUAACAAUUUCAACUACAUCAAACUAAAAAGCUUCUGCACAGCAAAGGAAACUAUCACAAAAUGAAAAGGCAAUCUCCAGAAUGGGAGAAAAUAUUUGCAAAUCAUGUAUCUGAGAAGGGACUCGCAUCCCUAAUAUAUAAAUAUAUAAAGAAUUCAUAGAGCUCAUAUGACUCAAUACCAAACAAACAAAUAGCUAAAAACUGGGCAGAAGAACUGAAUAGACAUUCUUUCAAAGAAGACAUGUAAGUGACCAACAGGUGUUAUGAUAAGGUGCUCAACGUCACUAAUUAUCCAGAAAAUGCAAAUCAAAACCAAAAUGAAAUAUCAUCUCACACCUGUUAGAGUGGCUAUCAUCAAAAAGACAAGAGAUAACAACUGCCAGGAAGGAUAUGGAGCAAAGGGAACUUGUGCACUGUUGCUGGGAAUAUACAUUGGUGUAACCACUUUGGAAAACAGGAUGGAGGUUCCUCAAAAAAUUAAAAAUAGAACUACUAUAAGAUCCAGCAACCCCACUUCUGGGUAUUUACCCAAAGGAAAUGAAAUCACUGUCUCAAGGAGAUAUAUGUACCCCAAUGUUUGUUGCAGCAUUAUUUAUAAUAGCUAAGACAUGGAAAUAACCUAAAUGUCCAUCAACAAAUAAAUGUACAAAUAAGAUAUAUAUGUAUACAUAUACAUAUACAUACAUACACACACACAAACAUAUAUAUAAUGGUAUAUUAUUCAGUUAUUAAAAAAAGGGAAUCCUGCCAUUUGCAAAAACAAGGAUGGAUCUUGAGGGCAUUAUGCUAAGUGAAAUAAGUCAGGGAAAGACAAAUACUGUAUGCUCUCAUUUAUAUGUGGAAUCUAAAAAAACCAAACUCAUAGAUAGAAAAGAUUGGUUGUUGCCAGAGGCAGCAGGGGAUGGGGGAAGAAUGGGUGAAGGAGGUCAAAAGGUACAAACUUCUAGUUAUAAGAUAAAUAAGUCCUGGGGAUGUAAUGCACAGCACGCUGACCAUAGUUAAGAAUAUUGCAUUGUAUGUUUGCAAGUUGUUAAGAGAGUAAAUCUUAAAAGUUCUCAUCACAAAAGAAAAGCAUCGAAGCUCCAUAAGGUGAUGGAUGUUAACUGAACUUACCGUGGUAGUCAUUUUAUAGUAUACAUACAUAUCAGAUCAUUGGACUAGUACAAUGUUCUAUGUUAGUUACAUCUGCAUAAAACUGGGGCAGGGGAAGCUACCCAAUGCUUUAAAUUUUGCUAUUUGAAAAAUGAUCUUUUUAAUUGAUACAUUCUCUAAGGAAAACCUAGGAACUUUGAGUUACAAAAUAAUUUAAAUUUAAAAAAAUAAUUUGAAUAAAAAGUUGAUAAAGCUAAUUGAUUCACAUUUUCCCAUGGGUUUGUAGUAGAUGAAGACCUUCCCUGGUCUCACCUCUUGGAUGAUACUUAUUAGAGAGGAACCAAGAAACUCCAUGCUUGGGAGAGGCUGAGCACCCUGGCCAAAUGCUUCUUUCAUCCAUUCCUAAACUUACAGGAAAUUUUAAACUAACUUUUAAACUUUAAUAGGUGUCAAACUUCCUUUGCAUAGAAUAAUCUUAUGCCAAACCCUACUGUUUUUAGUAUUGAAUAUUAUUAAUUAUAGAAAAAUUGAUAAUAUAAGAGGAUUAGAAAUAACCUACAUACCCAACAAUUGGGAAAAUUGGGAAUUAGUUAUGGUGUAUCCAGAUUAAAAAAGAUCUAACAAUUUCAGAGAUGAUGCUGAUGAUCCAGAAACCUUUCUUUGUUAACAAAUGAUUCAGAGACAUUAGCUAUUCCCUAUUUAUUGAAGAAUUUCUCUUUUCCUUUCAGAUAAAUCCCAAGAAACCUUGCAAAUGUCCCUAUAGUCAGCAACCUGUGCUUUGUGCAAAAUAGGCUCUAGACAGAGAUUUGUUAAAUCAAAUUCUGUAAAAAGCAUAACUUUAUUUCCUGAGUUAGUUUAAGAUGUAUCUUGGAAUUUUAACAUUUCUUUCUUUUUAAAACAUUAUUAUAAUCAUUAAGAAUGAGCCAACUUGAUUUCAUAGUGAAUUACCCACCUCUUGUCUUUUUCUCCAGAGUCUUAAUCAUUUCUGUCAAAGAGAUGAGCCAGGAACACCUUGUUAAUGCCAAAAUGGCUAGAAUGUCCUGGCUUUGGAGGUAUUCUCUAUAGUAGGCUGCACCAUAUGACAUUGCCAAUAUUUGACUAUUUUUUACUUUCAAAGAUGGUAGUUUUACAGUCAACAAAACCAAAAGACAACUCACAGAAUGGGAGAAGAUAUUUGCAAAUGACAUAUCAGAUAAAGGGCUAGUAUCCAAAAUCUAUAAAGAACUUAUCAAACUCAACACCCAAAGAACAAAUGAUCCAAUCAAGAAGUGGGCAGAAGACAUGAACAGACGGGCGCCUGGGUGGCUCAGUUGGUUAAGCGUCUGCCUUCGGCUCAGGUCAUGGUCCCAGGGUCCUGGGAUCGAGUCCCGCAUCGGGCUUCCUGCUCCUUGGGAGCCUGCUUCUCCCUCUGCCUCUCUCUCUCUGUCUCUCAUGAAUAAAUAAAUAAAAUCUUUAAAAAAAAAAAAAAAA